UACGUAGGGUGCAAGCGUUGUCCGGAAUUAUUGGGCGUAAAGAGCUCGUAGGCGGUUUGUUGCGGUCGGCUGUGAAAUCCCGAGGCUCAACCUCGGGUCUGCAGUCGAUACGAGCAAACUAGAGUGUUGCAGGGGAGACUGGAAUUCCUGGUGUAGCGGUGAAAUGCGCAGAUAUCAGGAGGAACACCGGUGGCGAAGGCGGCAUCCUGGACCGGCAUUGACGCUGAGGAGCGAAAGCCAGGGGAGCAAACGGG
rnacentral:rRNA from 1 species